rnacentral:rRNA from 1 species
UAAGGAAUAUUGGACAAUGGAGGCAACUCUGAUCCAGCCAUGCCGCGUGAAGGAAUAAGGCCCUAUGGGUUGUAAACUUCUUUUAGACGGGACAAAACCCCUUUACGUGUAAAGGGUUGAUGGUACUGUCAGAACAAGCAUCGGCUAACUUCGUGCCAGCAGCCGCGGUCAUACGAAGGAUGCAAGCGUUAUCCGGACUUAUUGGGUUUAAAGGGUGCGUAGGCGGACUAAUAAGUCAGUGGUGAAAGCCUGCAGCUUAACUGCAGACUUGACAUUGAUACUGUUAGUCUUGAGUACAGUUGAGGUAGGCGGAAUGUGUCAUGUAGCGGUGAAAUGCUUAGAUAUGACACAGAACACCGAUUGCGAAGGCAGCUUGCUAAGCUGUAACUGACGCUGAGGCACGAAAGCGUGGGGAGCAAACA